AUUGAACGCUGGCGGCAGGCCUAACACAUGCAAGUCGAACGAGUGGCGGACGGGUGAGUAAUGUCUGGGAAACUGCCUGAUGGAGGGGGAUAACUACUGGAAACGGUAGCUAAUACCGCAUACCAUCAGAUGUGCCCAGAUGGGAUUAGCGUGUUGGUGGGGUAACGGCUCACCACGGCGACGAUCCCUAGCUGGUCGGGGAGGAUGACAAGCCACACUGGAAUGGAGACAAGGUCAAGAAUCCUACGUGAGGCAGAAGUGGGGAAUAUUGCAAAAUGGGCGCAAGCCUGAUGCAGCCAGGCCGCGUGUAUUAAGAAGGCCUUCGGGUUGUAAAGUACUUUCAGCGGGGAGGCGUUACCCGCAGAAGAAGCACCGGCUAACUCCGUGCCAGCAGCCGCGGUAAUAC
rnacentral:rRNA from 1 species